CUUUUACUCAGCUUCAUUGUCCUUUGCCUCACUCUUGAUCCCUUCCUAAUCUAUAGACAGCUCUAUUCCAUGUCAACAUUAUUGUGCUAUUUCAUAUUCCCUUUGCUGGUUCCUGUACUGGGGAAAUUGAUGGGGACAUAACCCUUUUGCCUGCCUUCUCAUCCCAUUUCCAGACCAUCCAGACAUGCCACAUGGAGCAGAUUUCUUUGGUGAGACCUAUGGGCUUCAGGACUGGCUCAGCUCUGACUUCUCAUUUCAGUGGUGGCCAAGAGUCAAGGAUGUACUUCAG
ensembl:lncRNA